AUUGAACGCUGGCGGCAGGCCUAACACAUGCAAGUCGAGCGAGCGGCGGACGGGUGAGUAAUGUAUGGGGACUGCCCGAUAGAGGGGGAUAACUACUGGAAACGGUAGCUAAUACCGCAUACUAUCGGAUAACCCAUAUGGGAUUAGCUAGUAGGUGAGGUAAUGGCUCACCUAGGCGACGAUCCCUAGCUGGUCUGAGAGGAUGAUCAGGCACACUGGGGCUGGGACACGGCCCAGACUCCUACGGAGGCAGCAGUGGGGAAUAUUGCACAAUGGGCGCAAGCCUGAUGCAGCCAUGCCGCGGGUAUGAAAAAGGCCCUAGGGUUGGAAAAUUCUUUCAGUCGGGGAGCGUUACCGGAAGAAGAAGCACCGGCUAACUCCGUGCCAGCAGCCGCGGUAAUUC
rnacentral:rRNA from 1 species